UACGAGAGGCCCAAACGUUAUUCGGAAUUACUGGGCUUAAAGAGUUCGUAGGCGGCGCAGAAAGUAGGGUGUGAAAGCCCUCGGCUCAACCGAGGAAUUGCGCUCUAAACUACUGUGCUUGAGGAAGCUAGAGGUGAGCGGAACUGAUGGUGGAGCGGUGAAAUGCGUUGAUAUCAUCAGGAACACCGGAGGCGAAGGCGGCUCACUGGGGCUUUUCUGACGCUGAGGAACGAAAGCCAGGGGAGCGAACGGGG
rnacentral:rRNA from 1 species